GGAGACGGACAGACGGUCGCGGCUGCAGAGACGAAAGGCUGCAGGUGAGGAAAGUCCGGGCUUCACAGGGCAGGAUGCCGGAUAACAUCCGGUGGAGGUGACUCCCAGGAUAGUGCAACAGAGAUAUACCGCCGGCCUUGGCCGGUAAGGGUGCAAAGGCGGUGUAAGAGACCACCGACCGCACGGUGACGUGCGGGGCUAUGUAAACCCCAUCCGAAGCAAGACCGAACAGGACAGAUCGGUUGCCCGCCGAUUUUCAGAGCAAUCUGAAAAUACUGUCUGGGUAGGUCGCUUGAGCCUGUCGGUAACGACAGGACUAGAUAGAUGACCGUUUGAUACAUAACCCGGCUUACAGUUCGUCUCUAUAA
rnacentral:RNase_P_RNA from 1 species